rnacentral:piRNA from 1 species
UAGUUUUGGCAAACUGGGUCCUGAGAAU